rnacentral:lncRNA from 1 species
AUGGUUUGGAGUAAUUGAUCUUAAACUAUUUUGUUCAUAAUGUGCAGCACUGUUUAUCCUAAAUCAUAUGAAAGUAUUGAUGAAUCACAUGAUUGAUUGAUGAAGCAUGGUUCCAUGACUAAGGUUGAUAUCAAAACUCAGCCACAAAUGUUAACCGAGGUUCAUCGAAGACCAGCUAAGAGGAUAUUGUAACUGUGUGAGGUGAACCGAGGGUUCUAUAUUAACUGUUAUCAAUCAUGAGGAACAAUUUGAAGAUUUGGAUGAAGCAAGUAUUGGAGCUGAUAUGAGCAUCCCAUCUUGUUCACAUUUACACAUGUGUAACUACGACUUGCUUGCAUCCCAUCGUGUUCAGAUUUACACAUGUGUAAGUGUUGUUCUAUAUUCUUUGUAAAAAAGUACUUCCUUGAUAUCA